UUGUUUGUCCUCAGUGUUAAAAAGCAUGCAAUUACGCAGGAACUGUAGGAUGACUGGCUAGAACAGGCAGUAUUACUCAGGAAGAUUGCAUGCUGAAUAUGUCAUUAAUAUCUCUUUCUCUUGAAUUGCAUUGUUGUGUUUUAGGAAAAAAACACGAGAACAUUUUUGGGAAAGGAAACAAACCUUUUUUCUCUCCUAUGUUCUUCUAACUGCUUUUAGUAAUAAUGCUAAUGAAAAUUGUUUGUUGUACUUUUCAUUAAUUUUUCAAGUAUGAGCAAGAGCUUAAGUAAUGUUUUGGCAUUUUUACAGCUUUAAUCCACAUAAGACUUCUCGUGAAAUUCACAAAAGCCAGCUGGAAAAGAAGGCAAGUCUCGGCCCACGCCUCUGAUAAAUCCCCUUGCCUCUGUAAGAGUACAGCUCACACCCUUCUCCACCCUCAACAGCGGCCCUCUCUUUCACUAGCACGGGAUCUGGCCUCAUGUCGCCAGGCUGUUACCCCCGGUCCGAGCAGGGCCACAACCCCUUGCGUCACCGCAGACACACAAUGGGCUGCAGGGUGUGGUCUGCGUUUCGGGGUGUCUUUCUAGACGGCGUGUUUUUACUUGCACGGUUGCGCCAGGUGAGCCGAGGAGCCAACUCGGCAAUGUGCUCACGUUUUGGUGUUUUGAAAUUUAAAAAAUAUACAUAUAGUCUGAGGGUGUUCAGAGGAACAAAAUUGGACAAUACAGAGACAUACUUCUCUAAUUUACUCAACAGUGAAAAGAAAGUUAGAAAAUAAUUUCCAUGUCCGGAAAUCUCUUUCGCUGUCACCUUGAGGCCUCUUGGGGGGGAUGAGAGUGUGCUGCAGGAGGCCUCUCGCAGGCCAGAGUGAUUUUUCCCUGCACACAAUGAGAGCUUUCCCCCACACGCGUUUCGUGACUGCAAGAGCCUGGCGAGGGUCGCGCUGUGCAGGGAGCCAGCACUCAACAUUGUGGAGAAGAAGGUGAACUAUGGAAAACAUUAGCCUUGUGAUUCUCUCUCUUUCGAGCUGGGUAUUUCUCUAAGGUUGCCUUAGAAACGCCUUCUGCUGCUGAAAUCUGUGCUGGGCCUCCACAGUUUCCUGUCCUUCCAUACUAGAGACAGCCUGCCGAAGAUGCUCAUUUUUAAACCAUUCACAUGGUCUGACUGGACAGUCAGAGGGUCAUUACUAGGAA